GCGCGAAACCUCCGCAAUGCGAGCAAUCGCGACGGGGGGACCCCAAGUGCUACUCUUAACGGGGUAGCUUUUCUAAAGUGUAAAAAGCUUCAGGAAUAAGGGCUGGGCAAGACCGGUGCCAGCCGCCGCGGUAACACCGGCAGCUCAAGUGGUGGCCGCUUUUAUUGGGCCUAAAGCGUUCGUAGCCGGCCUGAUAAGUCUCUGGUGAAAUCCCGCAGCUUAACUGUGGGAAUUGCUGGAGAUACUAUCAGGCUUGAGGCCGGGAGAGGCUGGAGGAACUCCCAGGGUAGGGGUGAUAUCCUAUAAUCCUGGGAGGACCACCUGUGGCGAAGGCGUCCAGCUGGAACGGACCUGACGGUGAGUAACGAAAGCCAGGGG
rnacentral:rRNA from 1 species